rnacentral:rRNA from 1 species
AUUAUAUGGUCAAGUGAAUAAGCGUACAUGGCGGAUGCCUUGGCGAUUACAGGCGAUGAAGGACGUGGAAGUCUGCGAAAAGUUUCGGGGAGCUGGCAAUCAAGCUUUGAUCCGGAAAUGUCCGAAUGGGGAAACCCGCACAGGCUUAAAACCCUGUCAUCCACAGCUGAA